AAUUAAAAGUCAAAGACUUGGAGUCUAUACACAGUGAAGGUGGAGAAGGACUACGGAUACAUGGCAGACCUGCAGAGUGCUAUCCUAGAAGCCCGGCUGACAUCAGACAAGGGUUUGCCAAAGACCAGAAAAAAAAGGCCUAAUGACCCACGGCAAUAUGGGGUUCUUGCAAACAUCCCACCUCCCACCACCCAGGACCUGUUGCAAACCCAAUUCCACAGAGGAGUAGGGCAAGGAAUGCAGUAAGAGACCAUAGAAGAGAUUGGAGGUCCCAUACCAACUAAACUGAAGCUGACUAUAGGCUGCUGGGGGCUGUUUGGAACAGUAUUACGCUGCUCACUUUUAGAUUUUUGAUAUUUGUAAAUAUUCGAUUUAUUAGAUCUAAAUGUCCUUCACAGUUUUGUAUUAUUUACACUUGGUUCUUAUAAAAUAUAUAAAAAAAAAAUUGGAUUUUGGAUAUAGUUUUCUAUGAUCAAUUUGUUUAUAAUUGACAUAUUUUCAAUGCAGUUGCACGAUUGUUCUGCUAAAAAGGCAUUUUUUGUGUAGUGCUUUUAUACUUAUUUAGAAUAUGCACUUGUGCUGCAUGUAGUCAUCGAAGGCCAGGGUGUUCCUGUGUGUGUGAGUUGUUAUCUUAUUGUUUUAUUAUUUAAUAAAAAAGUUUACCGCA